rnacentral:lncRNA from 1 species
GGCAACUUCGCCAUGUGCUCCCACUGUCUAGAGCUGGGUGUCAGCCACAACUUCCAGGUCCGAGACCACCCCCUCUACCACUUCAUCAAAGCCAGGGCCCUCAACAAGACUGGCGACUACGCCGAGGCCAUAAAGACCUUAAAAAUGAUCAUAAAGGUGCCCACCUCAAAGGCAGAAGAGGGCAGGAAGUCCCGAGGCCCCUCCGUGCGGCCCAGCGAGCGGGCAUCCAUCCUGCUGGAGCUAGUAGAGGCCCUCCGACUGAAUGGGGAACUGCACGAGGCCACUAAGAUCAUGCAGGAUGCCAUCAACGAGUUCAGUGGCACACCAGAGGAGAUGCGCAUCACGGUCGCCAACGUGGACCUGGCCCUGAGCAAGGGCAACGCAGACCUGGCACUGAACAUGCUAAGAGGCAUCACGCCCAAGCAACCCUGCUACACAGAAGCCAAGGAGAAGAUGGCCAGCAUCUACCUGCACACUCGCAAGGACGUGCGCCUCUACAUCGGCUGCUACAUGGAGCUUUGUGAACAUCUGCCCGGCCCCCACAGCAGCCUGCUACUGGGUGACGCUUUCAUGAACAUCCAGGAGCCUGAGAAGGCCCUGGAGGUGUAUGACGAGGCCUACAGAAAGAACCCUCACGACGCCUCCUUGGUCAGCAGGAUUGGACAAGCCUACGUGAAGACCCACCAGUAUGCCAAGG